rnacentral:rRNA from 1 species
CCGCUGAACUUAAGCAUAUCAAUAAGCGGAGGAAAAGAAAAUAACAAUGAUUCCCCUAGUAACUGCGAGUGAAGAGGGACAAGCUCAAAUUUUAAAUCUGUCGGGUUCUACCUGACCGAGUUGUAAUUUGAAGAGGCGUUUUCUGUGUUUCUGAUCAGUCCAAGUCCUUUGGGAUAAGGCAUCACGGAGGGUGAGAAUCCCGUUCGGUUGAUCAGAUUCGCUUUACGAUACGCUUUCAAAGAGUCAAGUUGUUUGGGAUUGCAGCU